rnacentral:rRNA from 1 species
AAGCGCGCGUAGGCGGACNNUAAGUNGAUGUGAAAUCCCAAGGCUCAACCUNGGAACUGCAUUUGAAACUGGUAGNCUAGANANCAGGAGAGGUUGGCGGAAUACCGAGUGUAGAGGUGAAANUNCGUAGAUAUUCGGUGGAACACCAGUGGCGAAGGCGGCCAACUGGACUGAUACUGACGCUGAGGCGCGAAAGUGUGGGGAGCAAACAGGAUUAGAUACCCUGGUAGUCCACACCGUAAACGAUGAUUGCUAGUUGUUGGCAGAUUUAUCUGUCAGUGACGCAGCUAACGCAUUAAGCNANUCCGCCUGGGGAGUACGGUNGCAAGAUUAAAACUCAAAGAAAUUGACGGGGGCCCGCACAAGCGGUGGAGCAUGUGGUUUAAUUNGNAAGCNANCGCGCAGAACCUUACCUACUNUUGACAUCCCGAUCGCGGAUAGUGGAGACAUUAUCCUUCAGUUAGGCUGGAUCGGUGACNGGUGCUGCAUGGCUGUCGUCAGCUCGUGUCGUGAGAUGUUGGGUUAAGUCCCGCAACGAGCGCAACCCUCAUCCUUAGUUGCCAUCAGGUUUGGCUGGGCACUCUAAGGAAACUGCCGGUGACAAACCGGAGGAAGGUGGGGAUGACGUCAAGUCCUCAUGGCCCUUACGAGUAGGGCUACACACGUGCUACAAUGGCAGUGACAAUGGGUUAAUCCCCAAAAACUGUCUCAGUUCGGAUUGUUGUCUGCAACUCGACAACAUGAAGGUGGAAUCGCUAGUAAUCGUGGAUCAGCNUGCCACGGUNAAUNCGUUCCCGGGCCUUGUACNCACCGCCCGUCACAUCAUGGGNAUNNUUCNACC